UGUGUUUUCCAGAAUAUACAAAGAACUCUUACAGCCCAACAACAAAAAUGGGCAAAGAACUUUGUCACAGUGUGACUCUAGAAUGUUCCCAAAGGGUUGUGUAUGGAAGGCUUGGUUCCAAUGCAGCAGUGUCCAGAGGUGAGACUUUGGGAAGUGAUCAGAUCAUGAGGACUCUGGCCUCAUCAGUGGGUUAAUCCCUUGGUAGAUUCAGAGCUGAAGGGACCCUUGGGAGGUGGUGGACCGUAGGAUGUAGGGCCCAGUCGGAGGAAGAAGGGCACCGCGGGUGUGCCCUGGAGGGGCACAGCUUGUCCCCAGCCCCUUCCCCUCUCCUCUCUCUGCUUCCUGACUGCCCUGAGGUGAACACCUGCUUGCUAUGGUGUUCUGCCUCACCACAGGCCCACAGGGAUGGGGCCAGUGACCAUGGACGGAAACCUCUGAAAUUGCAAGCCAAAAUAAAUCUUU
rnacentral:lncRNA from 1 species